rnacentral:rRNA from 1 species
CUUCUUUUUCCACCGGAGCUUGCUCCACCGGAAAAAGAAGAGUGGCGAACGGGUGAGUAACACGUGGGUAACCUGCCCAUCAGAAGGGGAUAACACUUGGAAACAGGUGCUAAUACCGUAUAACAAUCGAAACCGCAUGGUUUUGAUUUGAAAGGCGCUUUCGGGUGUCGCUGAUGGAUGGACCCGCGGUGCAUUAGCUAGUUGGUGAGGUAACGGCUCACCAAGGCCACGAUGCAUAGCCGACCUGAGAGGGUGAUCGGCCACAUUGGGACUGAGACACGGCCCAAACUCCUACGGGAGGCAGCAGUAGGGAAUCUUCGGCAAUGGACGAAAGUCUGACCGAGCAACGCCGCGUGAGUGAAGAAGGUUUUCGGAUCGUAAAACUCUGUUGUUAGAGAAGAACAAGGAUGAGAGUAACUGUUCAUCCCUUGACGGUAUCUAACCAGAAAGCCACGGCUAACUACGUGCCAGCAGCCGCGGUAAUACGUAGGUGGCAAGCGUUGUCCGGAUUUAUUGGGCGUAAAGCGAGCGCAGGCGGUUUCUUAAGUCUGAUGUGAAAGCCCCCGGCUCAACCGGGGAGGGUCAUUGGAAACUGGGAGACUUGAGUGCAGAAGAGGAGAGUGGAAUUCCAUGUGUAGCGGUGAAAUGCGUAGAUAUAUGGAGGAACACCAGUGGCGAAGGCGGCUCUCUGGUCUGUAACUGACGCUGAGGCUCGAAAGCGUGGGGAGCAAACAGGAUUAGAUACCCUGGUAGUCCACGCCGUAAACGAUGAGUGCUAAGUGUUGGAGGGUUUCCGCCCUUCAGUGCUGCAGCUAACGCAUUAAGCACUCCGCCUGGGGAGUACGACCGCAAGGUUGAAACUCAAAGGAAUUGACGGGGGCCCGCACAAGCGGUGGAGCAUGUGGUUUAAUUCGAAGCAACGCGAAGAACCUUACCAGGUCUUGACAUCCUUUGACCACUCUAGAGAUAGAGCUUCCCCUUCGGGGGCAAAGUGACAGGUGGUGCAUGGUUGUCGUCAGCUCGUGUCGUGAGAUGUUGGGUUAAGUCCCGCAACGAGCGCAACCCUUAUUGUUAGUUGCCAUCAUUUAGUUGGGCACUCUAGCAAGACUGCCGGUGACAAACCGGAGGAAGGUGGGGAUGACGUCAAAUCAUCAUGCCCCUUAUGACCUGGGCUACACACGUGCUACAAUGGGAAGUACAACGAGUCGCGAAGUCGCGAGGCUAAGCUAAUCUCUUAAAGCUUCUCUCAGUUCGGAUUGUAGGCUGCAACUCGCCUACAUGAAGCCGGAAUCGCUAGUAAUCGCGGAUCAGCACGCCGCGGUGAAUACGUUCCCGGGCCUUGUACACACCGCCCGUCACACCACGAGAGUUUGUAACACCCGAAGUCGGUGAGGUAACCUUUUGGAG